rnacentral:tRNA from 6 species
UCGUUAGCUCAGUUGGUAGAGCAGUUGACUCUUAAUCAAUUGGUCGGCGGUUCGAACCCGCC